UUUAGUGUGUGUUCUGGUCGAGGUUUUCCACAGGAGGAUAAGGGGUUCUUGAGCUCAAACCCUAAUCAACACAAUUUCAUCAAAUUGAAGGGGCAAAUCAAGUCCAAAUCGAAAUCUAAGCUCGAAUUAGUGAUCACCUCCAUGAAGGGAUCAUAAGGCGACUCGAGCGAGAAGGCGGGCGAUAAAGUCGGGAGCGAUACGCGGCAUAAAGGGAAGAUCUAAGGAAAUAACAUAUGUUUGCGAUGUUUUAACUAGAAAAUUUAAAGCAAAAAGUAUGUAAACGGGUCGAUGCUAUUGCCCGAGCCAGGUGUGAAGUUGGUGUUACUCCGAAUGGCGAUCAAGCAAGAUUUCAAGAACCGAACGCGACACUUUUGAAGCUUACGGCGUUAAUAAUUUUUGUUCUAACUGAAUAUGGACAUGUAACUCUUGAUGCCACAUUAUGUAUGUUUUAAACUUGUUGGGAUGUUAAUCAUGUAUGAACACUCAACAAAACAAAGUUUUUGUAAAUCCGUAUAUUUUCAUUUAUAAAUACGCGUAUUUUAACAU
rnacentral:lncRNA from 1 species